rnacentral:rRNA from 1 species
GAUGAACGCUGGCGGCGUGCCUAAUACAUGCAAGUCGAGCGAACAGACGAGGAGCUUGCUCCUCUGACGUUAGCGGCGGACGGGUGAGUAACACGUGGAUAACCUCCCUAUAAGACUGGGAUAACUUCGGGAAACCGGAGCUAAUACCGGAUAAUAUAUUGAACCGCAUGGUUCAAUAGUGAAAGACGGUUUUGCUGUCACUUAUAGUUGGAUCCGCGCCGCAUUAGCUAGUUGGUAAGGUAACGGCUUACCAAGGCAACGAUGCGUAGCCGACCUGAGAGGGGGAUCGGCCACACUGGAACUGAGACACGGUCCAGACUCCUACGGGAGGCAGCAGUAGGGAAUCUGCCGCAAUGGGCGAAAGCCUGACGGAGCAACGCCGCGUGAGUGAUGAAGGUCUUCGGAUCGUAAAACUCUGUUAUUAGGGAAGAACAAAUGUGUAAGUAACUAUGCACGUCUUGACGGUACCUAAUCAGAAAGCCACGGCUAACUACGUG